rnacentral:rRNA from 1 species
GACGAACGCUGGCGGCGUGCCUAAUACAUGCAAGUCGAACGCAGUGGGGACGGGUGAGUAACACGUGGGUAACCUCCCAUCAGAGGGGAUAACACUUGGAAACAGGUGCUAAACCGAUACUGAUGCAUGGCCCCGCGGUCCAUUAGCUGGUUGGUGAGGUAACGGCCCACCAAGGCCACGAUGCAUAGCCGACCUGAGAGGGUGAGCGGCAAGACUUGGACUGAGACACGGCCCAGACACCGACGGGAGGCAGCAGUAGGGAAUCUUCGGCAAUGGACGAAAGUCUGACCGAGCAAGGCCGCGUGAGUGAAGAAGGUUUUCGGAUCGUAAAACUCUGUUGUGAGAGAAGCGGUAUCUAACCAGAAAGCCACGGCUAACUACGAGCCAGCCGCCGCGGUAAUAC